AGUAUUGAGUGGUACUGGACUUCUGUAAAAAUAAUUUUCAUAGGGAUGAAAAAAGUACUCUGUCUGCCUGUCCUAAAUAACAUAUUAAGCAUGAAAUUACGAAUUAUUGUGAAAUUACACGCACAGGAAGUGCUUUUAUUUUGUAGCAUUUGCUCAGUCGGCUCUCGAAGCUUCUCAGCAGACCGAGAAGAGCAAAGGUUGGAGGUGCAUUAACCGUCGGAGGUCGCGCUUCUGUUCUGCAUCUGCACUUGACAGUCACUGGUUCUGCACCACUGAGCUAAAUAUGUGUAAAUGUAGAGCAUCUGCGUUCCUAUGAGCUGUCAGCCACACCGGGAAGCCUGUCUAUGAAUCUGCAGUCAGACUUCACUGAUCCAACCCCACUCUCUGCACACAAGAUUGAUGGCAUGCUGCUGUUGACCCCCAAGAGGUUCAUACAAGGGAGACCACUGGAAUUACAUGAUGUCCACACAAGGCGUACCACUGUUCUCCAUGCCCAUCCAGUCUAUCUACUUGAGGAAACCUCUGGGUUUUUGAGGACAUGUGUGGAUGAUACCAAUGAGCCGGACCUUAGGGAUGCAGCAGUUGUCCUCCUGACAACCAUCACCGAUGAUGCAGAGAGUCCAGUUACGUACGACCCAGUGAGAAUCUGUUAUCCUAGAGGGUGAUGUGAUUGUCGACCUCUCCAGGCUUCCUGAUGCCUUCCUGGGCAUGCUCAGUUGAAGUUUCCAUCUCUGCGCGUUCAAGAUGUAAGAAAAAUAAUACGAAAGAAAUGCAACAAUGAAAACUUCAAAAAGGCAUCAACAACCAAGCAAGUGGAUCCAUAAAAUGGACUGAUUUUUUUAAAGGCAUUUUUAAAAAGUCUUUCAAAAUGGACAGAAUUAACGCGUCAUGUUCAGAACAGUUUGCGUUCUCAUCUUUGAUUAAUCCUGGUAAACAGGUCUGUUUUUGUUCUGUUCUAAUUCUCUCUGUUUAAUAAAUUUAAACAAAAUGA